rfam:Candidatus Curtissbacteria bacterium RIFCSPLOWO2_01_FTLL_42_50 rifcsplowo2_01_scaffold_7945, whole genome shotgun sequence.
GCCCCUGUGGUAUAACGGAUAACACAUGAGUCUUCGGAACUCAAGUUAGAGGUUCGAAUCCUCUCAGGGGCG